UACGGAGGGGGCUAGCGUUGUUCGGAAUUACUGGGCGUAAAGCGCACGUAGGCGGCUUUGUAAGUUAGAGGUGAAAGCCCAGGGCUUAACCCUGGAAUUGCCUUUAAGACUGCAUCGCUAGAAUCGUGGAGAGGUGAGUGGAAUUCCGAGUGUAGAGGUGAAAUCCGUAGAUCUACGAAGGAACGCCAAAAGCGAAGGCAGCUCUCUGGGUCCCUACCGACGCUGGGGUGCGAAAGCAUGGGGAGCGAACAGG
rnacentral:rRNA from 1 species